UUCUUAUAAAAAUUAUUAUAAGUAAAAUCUGCUCAAUGAUUUAAAUAGCCGCAGAAAUUUAACUGUGCUAAGGUAGCAUAAUCAUUUGUUUUUUAAUUAAAAUCUAGAAUGAAAGAUUUAACAAUUUAAAUUCUUUUUUAUAUUUAAAUAAAUUAAAAUUUUAUUAAAAAUAAAAAUAUUUUUAUAAAACAAAAAGACGACAAGACCCUUUUAAACUUAACUUUAGUUAAACUGGGACAGUUACUUAAUAAUUAUUUUAAACUUAAUAAAUAAAUAAUAACCUAAUAUUAUUAAAUUAACAAGUUACUAAAGGGAUAACAGCGUAAUUUAUAUUUAAAGUUCUUAUUACAAUAUAAGAUUACGACCUCGAUGUUGAAUUAAAUACCUUUUUUUAGCAAAAUAAAUAAAAGAAAGUCUGUUCGACUUUUAAUAUUUUACA
rnacentral:rRNA from 1 species